UACGGGGGGGGCAAGCGUUGUUCGGAAUUACUGGGCGUAAAGGGCUCGUAGGCGGCUCGUUAAGUCAGACGUGAAAUCCCCGGGCUCAACCCGGGAACUGCGUCCGAUACUGGCAGGCUUGAAUCCGGGAGAGGGAUGCGGAAUUCCAGGUGUAGCGGUGAAAUGCGUAGAUAUCUGGAGGAACACCGGUGGCGAAGGCGGCAUCCUGGACCGGCAUUGACGCUGAGGCGCGAAAGCCAGGGGAGCAAACGGGG
rnacentral:rRNA from 1 species